CUGUGCUGCAUGGGCGGUCAAUACAUUCAUGAAACGACAUCAGAGGGCAGUGUUAGGUGUGCAUCUUAAUGCUUUUGAUGUUUACAAGUGCAGAGGCCUUUACCUGGUCCAUCAGACGCUGACAGGGCAGGUGAAUUGAGCUUCGGUCGCUUUGAGUUGGGAGGUCCGACGUCCAGCAGGUUUUCAGCCAUAGUUGUUGUCUUGUCCGGCUGGUUGCUCAAGUUGAUAAUUCUGCUUACCUUCUGACAGGGAAGUUGUUCUAUCAACCCGAAGCUUCCCGGUUAGCACAUUAGCAAGCUGGCAGCCUGCUAACGUUAGCUAACAGGCUAAUAGCUAGCUAAUUGCCUGCUACCAGCUAAGUUAACUGUGUUAGCGUUAGCUACUCCUUGCUGCGAGAGUGAGCUUUCAAAAGAGAUGCAAUAGCGCCCCGCUUCGCCACCGCCAUUCACCCCAUGAUAAUCCAACACCCAACACCCACAUUAUUAUCGUUAAAUGACCCAACAUAAAAUAUUCCCCAUGUAAAAAGCGAACUUCAGUCUCACAAUCCAAUAAAAUCAGGUUGGCUGCUGCACUCCGGGGGAAAGGUCGUAAUAUCUAGAUGAUCCAAGUACCCAUUUUUGCGUGACGUCAAAUUUCUUCAUGCAAAAAUCGCGCGAAGCUCCACAAAAAUGCACAAUUGCAUGAAAAUGCUGUAUUUUUGCCAAUCACUUCGAAAGUCACGAUCUGGUCUCCGCUUGCCUACGGUAAACAAUACGGCUCCCGAACGGCGACAGGGGCUGAAUCGCCGCACUCUGAAGGGGAAAUCAGAUAUACGGAGCUUUUUUGCCCGACGACCAACGAUCCAAUUCCCGUUUUUUCGCACAAAAUGUCUCCGAGGCGAUGUUAAGAUUUCGUUUUCGGGAGAAGGACGCUGUCACAUCGCGAUCGGCUGUGGAGGGGGAGGGGCCGCGCAAUCACGCCCUACGUGAAAACACCGCUCCCGCUGACCGCUGGGAGCGCCACAGCACCGCCAAAGACACAAGCAAUUCACAAAUGUGCGCUACUGGAGAGACGGUGUGCCCAUGAACCUGCGGAGUCCCACACCUCUGUGCACGCUAGGGCUACAGCGACACGGCCUGAAAAUCACGAAGAAUUAUCUAACAACGUGAGGCAGGAGGUUAACAGGAGUGUGAUUCUGGAUGUCAUCUGUUUUCAUAACUUUGGCAAACUUGAGCGCGCUGAGAAUAUGCAACGAGAGGUGCUGUAUAUUUUAAAUUGCAAUGAAAAAGCUCACGUAGCUAUUUUUGUGUCUCACUCUAAAGUGACAGCGGAUUUUUAUGGGGAUUUACGGUGCUAGGGUUAUAAUGAUUAUAUGAUACAAAUAACCACAGCUCACACACACUGAUUAAACAUAUUACUAAUUUAAAA